CCUCUCUCUUCUGCCAAAAAAUGUCCCAAACAAUGGAACCUCGUCGACAAGUACAACCUUGGAUCCUCCGACAAAGGAAGAACCAUCUACCACAAGACAUCGUACUCAACAUUCAGUGUAAAAGUUGGGAGUAGCAAUGAACCAUCUCCUUGAUUGAUUGUUCAAUCUCCAGCUGCUUCUAGGAAUGGUCUUUAUUUAUUUCAAGGUACACCUAUGACACUCCAACAAUUUAUUUUUCCUCAAACUCAAUCAUUCCAUCAAGAAUGAGUACGGAAUACCCAUAAUUUUCAUCAAAAACAGAUAUACAUUAGUAGCUUCUGGUCUAUUUGGAGCCUUGGAUUAAAGUUUACUAGCUUUUCCCCUGAUUGGAAUGGCUCAUAGGUGCAAUGAGCUCAUACAACUUGCUUGGCCAACAUGGCUAGAUCAUCCAAUGGUGCCACAAUUUGAGUUAUCUGAGGUAUCUUGAAUCCCAGCUUCAGAUAUAUCUCCAGAUCCUUGAGUCUCUAAGCCUUGUUGAUUCCGAGUUUGAAGAAUCGAUCCUGAUGCUCUAAUGGAGUGUUCAAGUUAGAUAGGAUUUCCAGAGUGUUGCAGUCAACCAUACGAAAUUCACAGCACACCAUACC